rnacentral:rRNA from 1 species
UCUCGGUGAUUUAGCCGCGUAGGCCCCACCUCUUCCCAUUCCGAACAGAGAAGUGAAAAUACGCGGCCUCGAUGAUACUCUAAAGGGAAAGUAGAGUUCGCCGGGAA